CGGUUUCGUACUACUAAAGGAAUGGAAACUAACUGACGAUAUUAACGAUUUUUUGUAUACUUCCGUACUUGCGAUUGCCUGGCAGCGUGUUUUCAUCAUGCGAAUCCAAAGAUCAAGAUUAGCUAAGCUGCUGAUACUGCUUGAAAAAUUUCCUAUGGAUGAUAAAGAAGUGAAAUCCCAUUUGAAUGCAAUUUUAACGAAAGUGGUUACCAUCUUUGUUACAUUACCACCUAUCGCAGUUGUUAGUGGGGUAGUUGCAUGGUACACCACCUAUGGAGAGGGCACGUUACCAUUCGGUUCUAUGGCAAGUUGGGCAAUGGAGUACACUACAAACAUGUGUCUAGUUAUUCAAGUUAUGACAUAUACAUUUCUGGGACAUGAGUUUUUAAUGUGGGACGGAACCAAAUGAACCAUUCUGUUACAACUGAGUGGAAAUUUCAAAUAUUUGAACAGAAACGCCAGAAAUUGUCUUGAGAAUGCGAGAAUUGACUGUGAACAGUCAUCGAAUUCCACUUUGAAUAUUUCAUGGUGCCAUAUGCAAAAGCUUUUAAAAUACAUAACCGUAAGGCACAAUUACCUGUCUUUAGCUGCCAAGGAAGUAGAAUUGGUAUUUAAUAAAACUGUUUUAA